UACGAAGGGGACUAGCGUUGUUCGGAAUUACUGGGCGUAAAGCGCACGUAGGCGGAUCUGUUAGUCAGGGGUGAAAUCCCGGGGCUCAACCUCGGAACUGCCUUUGAUACUGCAAAUCUCGAGUCCGAUAGAGGUGGGUGGAAUUCCUAGUGUAGAGGUGAAAUUCGUAGAUAUUAGGAAGAACACCGGUGGCGAAGGCGGCCCACUGGAUCGGUACUGACGCUGAGGUGCGAAAGCGUGGGGAGCAAACAGG
rnacentral:rRNA from 1 species